ensembl:snoRNA small nucleolar RNA SNORA11
GGGGUGUGCUCAGAGCAGGGGGCCUGGAGAAUGGCUUCUCUGUUUACCACAUACCCAAGAGGAAUCUAGGACCAUUAUAAUGAGGGACACAGCACGGUGUCCUCUCUGUGAGCAGAUCCCUUACAUGA